UGUAUGAGCAUGCCUGUUUUCAUGACUAAAAUGCUCCCCGUCCCUGAGUAAACACCGACUGUAUCCGCUCCACAACAGCCACUGGCUCCUGCAUUGAUUGGCCUGUGCAAUUUAUUAGCCAUUGUGACAGUUUCCUGUACAGCCAGGGUCGACGGGGGAAACUGAGAGUCACAGAGGCCCUGGAGCCGAUCCCAACUGUGACGAGCAAGAGGCAGAGACGGACAACCAUUCUCAUUUUAUCAGCUACAUCCAGCUUUUCCCGGCAACUUAGAAUCACCAGUUAACCAAACAUGCGUGCCCUGUGUGACUGUGGAGGAAGCUGUGGUAGCCGGGGAGAAUGCAUGCACACAUAGUGCUAACUCCACACAGGAAGGCUGCAGCACAGCGGCUUCAACUCAACUCAGCUCAACUCAAUUUAUAUAGCAUGAAAUCACAACUGUCACCUGAAGGCUCCCUAUGAACAAGCAUUUGGUGACAGUGGGAAGGAAAACAGGAAGAAACCUCCAGCAGAACCAGGAUCAGGGAGGGGCGGGGCCAUCUGCUGCGACAGAUGUGCAGCUUCGAGAGAACAAUGUGACUCUGAAUGGCUCUGAGGCAUGAAGACGCUAACAGGGACCUCGGUUUUGGGACGACUCGAGUUAUAUUAAGUUAGCGACAGGGCCAGCCCACUGAGGGUUGGUCAUGCAGGGUUUCACACACAUAUCUGUCUUGGUGAAGCAAUGGCACAGACAAGCCAGACGUCAUUGACAUUUUCCACUUUUUGUUUCUUUUUUAAGUACACUUAACACAAAAUAAAGCAAUAAAAUGUAGUCAUUUGACUUUUUACUAGUCUGAUUCACCGUCCACAGCCUUAUACUCACAUGACAGCAAGGCAAAUGGAUUAGUUAAGUUAGUAGCUAAACUAUACGUAUGCAACCUGCCAUCGAAUUUCAGAAGAGAGAGAUUAAAAGGUGGUCUGCUCUGCUUUGGAAACACCUGCCCUAUCAGACCUUUACAUUUCAUCUGUUAUCUUAGAACCAAGAGAAGGUUAUUUUUGACAGAAAGAAAACACUCGCUUUAGUUUCAGUUUUCAGUGACUCAUCAAAACCACUGCUCUACAAACUGUUGUUCAGUUUGACAUU